UGGGGAAUUUUGGACAAUGGGCGCAAGCCUGAUCCAGCAAUGCCGCGUGCAGGAUGAAGGCCUUCGGGUUGUAAACUGCUUUUGUACGGAGCGAAAAGGUCUGCCCUAAUACGGUGGGCUCAUGACGGUACCGUAAGAAUAAGCACCGGCUAACUACGUGCCAGCAGCCGCGGUAAUACGUAGGGUGCGAGCGUUAAUCGGAAUUACUGGGCGUAAAGCGUGCGCAGGCGGUUAUGCAAGACAGAGGUGAAAUCCCCGGGCUCAACCUGGGAACUGCAUUUGUGACUGUAUAGCUAGAGUAAGGCAGAGGGGAUGGAAUUCCGCGUGUAGCAGUGAAAUGCGUAGAUAUGCGGAGGAACACCGAUGGCGAAGGCAAUCCCCUGGGCCUGUACUGACGCUCAUGCACGAAAGCGUGGGGAGCAAACA
rnacentral:rRNA from 1 species